GAUUAUUUCUACCACUUCAAAAGAACUUGAUAUGAGUACAUAUUUCUCCCUGUUCUUCAGCUUUCAUGUGAUAGUAGUAGGGCACAAAUUGACAAAUAAUACAUUUGUGGCAUGGGAUGAAAUUAAAGUUUUUCUUAGAUUCCUAGCAUUUUUAGCCCUUGUCUUGUUUACACAAUAGCACCAUGACAAAAACAUAUAUAAAUAAA
rnacentral:misc_RNA from 1 species